rnacentral:rRNA from 1 species
GGAAUAUUGGUCAAUGGAGGGAACUCUGAACCAGCCAUGCCGCGUGAGGGAAGAAGGUCCUAUGGGUUGUAAACCUCUUUUGACGGGGGUCAAUAAGGGUGCUGCGGCAUCCGAUGAGCGUACCCGUCGAAUAAGCAUCGGCUAACUCCGUGCCAGCAGCCGCGGUAAUACGGAGGAUGCAAGCGUUAUCCGGAUUUAUUGGGUUUAAAGGGUGCGCAGGCGGCGCGCUAAGUCAGCGGUGAAAUGUACCGGCUCAACCGGUGAGCUGCCGUUGAUACUGGCGUGCUAGAGUGCGAGCGGCGCCGGCGGAAUGAGUGGUGUAGCGGUGAAAUGCAUAGAUAUCACUCAGAACACCGAUCGCGAAGGCAGCUGGCGAGGACGUUACUGACGCUGAGGCACGAAAGCGUGGGGAUCAAACA